GAUAAGGCACUUUCCAAAAUGACUGGUCCGCGCCCCAAUGCUGUUGAAAUCACAGCGAUGCGGGGAGCCAGGGACCAUGUGACUGCAUGCGUAUAUAUGCCCCACCCGAAUUUUCCGCGUGGUUGUUUCACGCACUCGAAGUUGGCGGGCACAUGGGCUGGAAACCGUUACAACGUUCAAAACGGUGAUCAUGACAGAGACUCCAAGACUCCAAGCCAAACUUCAAGCCAAUGAAGUGAACACUAUCACGAACGCUAAUACUGGAGGAAUCAUGCUGGAACUUUGCAACCAAGUCCUUGCCACUCUCGGUUUGUCAUGAAUGUACUGUGCCCGUCAAACAGUAUUAUGCUCUACAAUUAGGCCUACGUCCCAGUGAAGUCUAGGGCCAGUUUUCUUGGGGCUUAAAUUUAAAUGAUUUCAACAUAAAUAACAUGUAGUUGAAAUGAAAUCUGUAAUGAGUAAUUAACCUUUAAAAACUGCAUAAAUCUUCAUGAUGUUUAGCCUACAAGAAUAAAAAUGCCAACAAAUGAAGUCUUCAAGUUGAUUAAAAUAAAUGAGAAAACAUUAAAGAAGCACAGUAAACCUAACCAAAACCUAAGGUCAACGCUAAUGAAAAUAAAAUAAAACUUCAAAUGUUAUUCAUGAAACCUCAAGGAUAUACAUGAAGAUGCCUAAAAUUAAGUCUUCAAAAUGAUUUAUUAAGAUUAGAAAACAUAAGUACCUAGGGCAGUAAAUCUAACCCAUACUUAAUGUCAGUGCUAAUAAACGUCAAAACUUAGAAAUGUUAUUCAUGAUGUUUAAACCUCAAAGAAAUAAAUACCUAGAACUUAGUCUUCAAAUUGACUUAAACUAGAAAACACAAGUAGAACAGUAAACCUAACCCAACCUGUUGGUCAGUGCUAAUAAAAGUAACCUCAAUUUCAAAUAAUAUUCAUGUUUAAACCUCAAGGAGCUGUCUAGAAAUAACUCUUCAAAUUAUUUUAAAAGACUAGGAAACAUAAGCAGAACAGUAAACCUAACCUAAAUCUAUUAAGGGCAAUGCUAUUGUAAGUGAAAUUAAACUUCAAAUAUUAUUAAGCAACUCACUUGACAACAAAAGGGAAUUAAUCUUAUGCUUUAACCUUGAAUGAAUAGAUGUCUAAAACUAAAUCUUCAACACGGUUUAAGGUACUUGAAAACAUAAGCAGCACAGUGUACGUAAUGAGCCUAAGGUCAAAACUAAUGAAAGUAAAAUUUAAAUUUUAAAUAUUAAGCAACUCACUUUGGAGGGUAUAUCCAGUUUUGAAUACAAAUACAAAAAAAAGUAGCAUCCAAGUACGCCAAAUAUUUUGUUUUGUGUCGUCUAUGCAAACUAAGGCAUAGACCCUUGCAGCAUUUUUUGAGGUCAUUCCCCUGCACGCAACCAUUAACAGUUCACCAUGUUAAUCACAAACCAUUAACAGAACAGUGCAACCAUUAACAGUUAACCAUGUUAAUCACAAACCAUUAACAGAACAGUGCAACCAUUAACAGUUAACCAUGUUAAUCACAAACCAUUAACAGAUAUGCACUUUAACCACUAACCAGCAAAGACCCAUCCGAGUGCUGCAAGGACUGGAAAAAAUGUUUCACGCUUCUUGAGAAGUUAAGUUCACUUGCACAAUUGUUUUGUUGUUCAAAGCUGGAUUGCUGUAAUUAAUUUUUUCUUGAGUAGUGUAGUAUGUACAACAGUUGUGGAAAAUCAAAUUUGUAAGUCAACUUUACAUUUGAUAUAACUAUGAGCACAAAAAAGGAAAACUAUUUUAAAAUGUUCAAGAUCACUUUGAUCAUCAAUCAGAAAGUUGACUAAAGAUUAAGUUUAAACUCAAAAAGGUAAUUUAAAAUAUAUAACUAUAAGUUCUAAUGAAAAAGAAAUUAUUUCAAAAAUCUGCAUGAUUUAUUAAUAGCCAGAAAAACAAUUUGAAAUCCAAUUGUACUCCGAUGGAAAUGUUUAAAAUGAUGAAAAAAGAUCAGCCUGGCAUAAGGACACCAUCUAAAAAUGAGGAUAUUAAUUUAAACCACAUUCAUAUGUUAAAAAAAGAUGACACUGAACCCUUAAACAAAGAAUGAAGAGCAAUUCAGCAUAAAGCUAUAACCAUGAUUAAUUAAUGGUCUUAAAUUUUUGAAAUCGCUUCAAGUUGGACCUGGACAAAGUUGGGACAAUAGUCAGUACAGAGCAAGACAUUUAAAAGAAUGUGAAAGUCUUCAUGGAGAAACUCUGAAAAGUUGCCCCAGGGUAAACUUUUGACAAUGUGCAAGACAACUGUGAAAUCAUGAGAAUGACAUUCAGGAUGGGAACUAUAGAUGUCAGCCAGAUGGAUGGUGUGAUGAACAGAUAUGAUGUAAGCCACGGCGUGUGGAAGGAGGAAAAUCAUCAUCCUGUGAGAGAUUCAUCGCUAAGACAAAAUCUGGACAAGGAAUUAGUCAUCAACAUGUCGGACUUGGACUCGAGAUCGACAUUAAAAGGCAGUACUGCAGCACCUUUCGGAAGAGGAUGGAUUUAACUUUAACAUGAUUUCAUGAGUUGCAUUUCUCCAGUGCAGACUCUGUGCAAGCUUUUUAACCUAAAUUAAUCUUGGACGCACAAUGGAAGGACACACCUACAUGUACCUUGAACUCCACGCUAUUUUGGAAGCUUGAUACUCUCCGGAUAAGCAUCUUUGGAAGGACCGGCUUGGGGGAACAGUGACUUUCUGACGGUGGACGAGUGGAAAUCUGAUGACUUUCUGAUUUUGGGAGCGAUGGAAUUCAACUUCUGACAAUGUGCAGGACAAACUAUGAAAUAUCGAGGAUGACAUUGUCAGAACAGUAACUACAUGUAUACAAGAUAUUGAGGACAAAUUGAUGAACAGAUGUAAGCCACAGUGUGCUGAAGGAGGAAAAUCAUGCAGUGAGGGACUCAUCACGAAGAUAAAGGACAGCGAAUUCAUCAUCUAAAUGUCUGAUUUGGACUAAGGAUCAACAUUAAAGGCAACAUUGCAACAUUUUUUGGAACUGCUUUUGUGAGUGUUGCAUUUCUCCAGUGUAGACUUGGUGCAAACUGCUGCGUCACUCUACUAUAAUCUUGGAAGCACAAUUGGAGGACACGCAUUGCCAUUUUGGGGAGCUUGACACUUGGAGGAUGAGCUUCUUUGGAAGGACGGACUUGAACUUUGGAGAACAGUGACAUUUGAUAUUGGACAAGUAGAAAUCUGAUGACCUUCUGAUGUUGGGACCAGUGGAAUUCGCCAUCUUUACUACCAGUGGAGGCAUGUUUCGUCCUGGAAACUUGGAGGUCUGGAGUUACUCGUGAGACGUUAACUGGCUUUGAGCAUGACCAAGAUGCCUGGAUUGCAGAAGUCUACCGACGUUGGGAGGGCCAGACGGAAGGACCAGACGUCUUGGGUAUAGAGGCCGGGGGACACGUUUGUAUGUUCAUAAGGUAAGGUAACCAUUGUAUGCAGGCUUGAACAUGCACAAGACCCCGGAUGUCGCUGUACAGUUUGCAAGUGGAGUCGCGUGGAUUGUGUGGUAGAGUAGAGCGAGGGGGACAAGGUUGCAUGUAAACCCAGGUGAGGUAACCAUUUCUCUGCAGCUCUUCUAGGCCACAUGCCUCAAGACUUGUCCCCCUGGAUUCUGGAUGUUGUUCUGUGGAUUCUGGAUGUUGUUCUGUGGAUUGUGCUGAGUGGUAUCCUGUUUUGACUGAUGUAACCAAGAUAUUCAUCUUGCUGUGGAUGGAGUAUAGAUGGCAGCAGUGUGUUGUCAAAGUUAUAGCCAGAAAGUGGGCACAGCAAACACACGAUAUCUGCUGCCGUAAUUGUGAGCAAGGACUAUCAGCAUUAUAAGGUUGUAGACUACUGGCGCAAUGCAUUCAACGCCACAUCACUGGAGUGGGAGCAAACGUGAUGACUCUACAA